AGAGUUUGAUCCUGGCUCAGGAUGAACGCUAGCGGUAGGCCUAAUACAUGCAAGUCGCGCGAACACUUCGGUGUUAGCGGCGGACGGGUGCGUAACGCGUAUCUAACCUACCCUCUAGAGGGGGACAACAGCUGGAAACGGCUGCUAAUACCCCAUAACACAGCGGGUGCACAUGCACACAGUUGUUAAAGCUGCCUUUAAAGCAGCGCUGGAGGAUGGAGAUGCGUCUGAUUAGUUAGUUGGUGAGGUAACGGCUCACCAAGACAGCGAUCAGUAGCUGGUCUGAGAGGAUGAUCAGCCACACUGGGACUGAGACACGGCCCAGACUCCUACGGGAGGCAGCAGUAGGGAAUAUUGGGCAAUGAGCGCAAGCUUGACCCAGCCAUACCGCGUGGGGGAAGACGGUCCACAGGAUUGUAAACCCCUUUUAUAUAGGAAUAAGGUCCUAUUUGUUAGGAUUUGCAGGUACUAUACGAAUAAGCACCGGCAAACUACGUGCCAGCAGCCGCGGUAAUACGUAGGGUGCAAGCGUUGUCCGGAUUUACUGGGUUUAGAGGAUCCGUAGGCGGGAGAAUUAGUCGGCGAUGAAAUCAGGUGGCUCAACCAUCUGGCUGUUGCCGAAACUGUUCUUCUUGAAUUAGAUUGAGGUGGCUGGAAUAGGCAGUGUAGCGGUGAAAUGCGUAGAGAUUGCCUAGAACACCGAUUGCGAAGGCAGGUCACUAAGUCUAUAUUGACGCUGAUGGAUGAAAGCGUGGGGAGCGAACAGGAUUAGAUACCCUGGUAGUCCACGCCGUAAACGAUGGAUACUCGCUGCUCGAACGAUUGCGUUCGAGUGGCUGCGAGAAUCAUUAAGUAUCCCACCUGGGGAGUACGCCCGCAAGGGUGAACUCAAAGGAUUGACGGGGCCCCACAAGUGGUGGAGCAUGUGGUUUAUUCGAUGAUACGCGAGG
rnacentral:rRNA from 1 species